GUGCUCUGGCGGCGAGCCGAAGUAGUCGAUGUAUGCCAUGAGGUCGGCCGCCGAGAGCGUGGCGAUGGCCGCGGCUGCCGUCUCGUCGCAGGCAGCGAGGUGCGCGGUGGAGAUCUCGCCGACGAGGUGGCCGUCGGUGCUGACCACGGCGACCGCGGUCUCUGCGGCGAUGGCCCGGCGGAUGAGGGGGACGGCGGACAGGGCUGCCUCGUCGGGACGCGCCGAC
rnacentral:lncRNA from 1 species